GACGAACGCUGGCGGCGUGCCUAAUACAUGCAAGUCGACCUUAGUGGCGGACGGGUGAGUAACACGUGGGAACCUACCCAUCAGAGGGGGAUAACACUUGGAAACAGGUGCUAAUACCGCAUACUAUCAGAUGAGCCUAGGUCGGAUUAGCUAGUUGGUGGGGUAAAGGCCUACCAAGGCGACGAUCCGUAACUGGUCUGAGAGGAUGAUCAGUCACACUGGAACUGAGACACGGUCCAGACUCCUACGUGAGGCAGCAGUGGGGAAUUUUGGACAAUGGGGGAAACCCUAAUCCAGCCAUCCCGCGUGUAUGAUGAAGGCCUUCGGGUUGUAAAGUACUUUUGGCAGAGAAGCGGUAUCUGCAGAAUAAGCACCGGCUAACUACGUGCCAGCAGCCGCGGUAAUUC
rnacentral:rRNA from 1 species